GGGCUCUUGGCACAGGGGUAGCGCGCACGCUUCGCAUUUACUGCUUGCGUGAGGUCGUGGGUUCAAUUCCCACAGUGUCCA